ACUCAUCAGAUUUUUAUCCUCAUCUCCAAUAGAUCUUCAUUAGUUCAGCAACCGAUUCUUCUUUAUUUGCUUAGAAGACCCAUCAUUAUCAUCGUCAACAGAUCAUCUUCAUCAUCAUUUCAUUUGAUUUAAAGGAAGGAGGAAGAGAAAACAGAGAAUGAAGGAAUAUGGAUUAUUUGGUUUUGGAUAAACUUGAAGAUGA